ensembl:misc_RNA Metazoa_SRP Metazoan signal recognition particle RNA
GCUGGGUGUGGUGGUUCACGCCUGUAAUCCCAGCACUUUGGGAGGCUGAGGUGGGUGGAUCACCUGAGGUCAGGAGUUCAAGACCAGCCUGGCCAACAAGGUGAAACCCUGCCUCUA